UUCAUCAUAAAGGGUCUAGUAUAAUUGAAAAAUAUUUUCUUCUAUGGUUUAAGCAUUGAUAUAUUUAUACUUGAAUUUGUUGACAGAUAUGGUAACAGACCAAACUUAGGAGGAAUAGAGCUGAUGAAUGAGCCAAAAGGUGUGAAUCUAGACAUCCUUAAGAAGUAUUACAAAGAAGCUUAUGAUGCUGUGAGGAAGCACAGCUCAAGUGCUUAUGCGAUCAUGUCAAAUCCAUUGGAUGCAGAUUCUAAAGUGAUUCUCUCAUUUGUGAAAGGCUUUGACAGAGUAGUCAUUGAUGUGCAUUACUACAAUCUUUAUUCCUGCAAAUUCAACAACAUGAAUGCUCAACAAAAUAUUGACUUCAUAAGAGAGGAUCCUCAAAUGCUGAGUUUUGUAGGGUAGUGGACUGGUGCAUGGCAUGCGUCUAAGGAAGACUUAAAAAGGUAUGCUCAAGCACAAUUGGAUGUGUAUUCUCGUGCAACUUUUGGACGGGCUUAUUGGUCCAACAAGUGUAGGUUCAACGAUGGAUGCUAGGUGCAACCAGCAUGUUUUACGGAUCAACUUGAUCCGUAUGCUUAAUAUUAAUAUACGGAUUAACUUGAUUUGUAUUAAUCUUAUAGAUCAACUUGAUCCGUACGAUUUGAGGAUUAUUCUUAUGCACACUCAGCACAAAUGCGAAGAAAGCGUAAAAGUAGUUUUAGCAUUUUUAAAAAAUGUUGGGUGCACCAGCAAUAAUGCUAGGUGCACCUAGCAUCAGCCUUCAACGAAUGGAUCAUGAAGUGGAUGAUCCAAAACGGUUACAUAAAGCUCUAAGUUAUGGACAAAAACACUAUAGAUAUGUUGAUGAACCCAAAAAGGAGUCUAUAUUUAGCAAGUUAAUUGAGAUGUUGUUUCACUUCUUGUUC